CCUACGGGGAGCAGCAGUGGGGAAUAUUGGGCAAUGGGCGCAAGCCUGAUGCAGCGACGCCGCGUGAGUGAAGAAGUAUUUCGGUACGUAAAGCUCUAUCAGCAGGGAAGAAAAUGACGGUACCUGACUAAGAAGCCCCGGCUAACUACGUGCCAGCAGCCGCGGUAAUACGUAGGGGGCAAGCGUUAUCCGGAUUUACUGGGUGUAAAGGGAGCGUAGACGGCAGCGCAAGUCUGGAGUGAAAUCCCAUGGCUUAACCAUGGAACUGCAUUUGAAACUGUGCAGCUAGAGUGCAGGAGAGGUAAGCGGAAUUCCUAGUGUAGCGGUGAAAUGCGUAGAUAUUAGGAGGAACACCAGUGGCGAAGGCGGAUUACUGGACUGUAACUGACGUUGAGGCUCGAAAGCGUGGGGAGCAAACAGGAUUAGAUACCCCUGUAGUC
rnacentral:rRNA from 1 species